rnacentral:rRNA from 1 species
GACGAACGCUGGCGGCGUGCUUAACACAUGCAAGUCGAACGGAAAGGCCCUGCUUUUGUGGGGUGCUCGAGUGGCGAACGGGUGAGUAACACGUUAGUAACCUGCCCUUGACUUUGGGAUAACUUCAGGAAACUGGGGCUAAUACCGGAUAGGAGCUCCUGCUGCAUGGUGGGGGUUGGAAAGUUUCGGUGGUUGGGGAUGGACUCGCGGCUUAUCAGCUUGUUGGUGGGGUAGUGGCUUACCAAGGCUUUGACGGGUAGCCGGCCUGAGAGGGUGACCGGCCACAUUGGGACUGAGAUACGGCCCAGACUCCUACGGGAGGCAGCAGUGGGGAAUAUUGCACAAUGGGCGGAAGCCUGAUGCAGCAACGCCGCGUGCGGGAUGACGGCCUUCGGGUUGUAAACCGCUUUCGCCUGUGACGAAGCGUGAGUGACGGUAAUGGGUAAAGAAGCACCGGCUAACUACGUG